UACGUAGGGUGCAAGCGUUGUCCGGAAUUAUUGGGCGUAAAGAGCUUGUAGGCGGUUUGUCGCGUCUGCUGUGAAAGUCCAGGGCUCAACCCUGGGAUGCCGGUGGAUACUGCUGGGCUAGAGUACGGAAGAGGCGAGUGGAAUUCCCGGUGUAGCGGUGAAAUGCGCAGAUAUCAGGAGGAACACCGGUGGCGAAGGCGGGUCUCUGGGCCGAUAUCGACGCUGAGGAGCGAAAGCGUGGGGAGCGAACAGG
rnacentral:rRNA from 1 species